GCUGUAGCUCAGUAGUACAGCAUCUGCUUUGUAUGAAGAAGACCCCAGGUUUGAUACCUGGCAUCUCCA